AUGAACGCUAGCGGCAGGCCUAACACAUGCAAGUCGAGGGGCAGCGGGAGUGCUUGCACUCGCCGGCGACCGGCGCACGGGUGCGGAACGCGUAUGGAAUCUACCUCUUUCUGGGGAAUAGCCCAUGGAAACGUGGAUUAAUACCCCAUAGUAUGCAGAGAUCGCAUGAUCUUUGUCUUAAAGCUUUGGCGGAAAGAGAUGACCAUGCGUAUCAUUAGCUAGUAGGUGAGGUAACGGCUCACCUAGGCAACGAUGAUUAGGGGUCCUGAGAGGGAGAUCCCCCACACUGGUACUGAGACACGGACCAGACUCCUACGGGAGGCAGCAGUGAGGAAUAUUGGACAAUGGUCGAAAGACUGAUCCAGCCAUGCCGCGUGCAGGAUGAAUGCCCUAUGGGUUGUAAACUGCUUUUAUACGGGAAGAACACCACCCACGUGUGGGCGACUGACGGUACCGUAAGAAUAAGGACCGGCUAACUCCGUG
rnacentral:rRNA from 1 species